UACGAAGGGGGGCUAGCGUUGCUCGGAAUCACUGGGCGUAAAGGGUGCGUAGGCGGGUUUUUAAGUCAGAGGUGAAAUCCUGGAGCUCAACUCCAGAACUGCCUUUGAUACUGGGAAUCUUGAGUAUGGAAGAGGUGAGUGGAACUGCGAGUGUAGAGGUGAAAUUCGUAGAUAUUCGCAAGAACACCAGUGGCGAAGGCGGCUCACUGGUCCAUAACUGACGCUGAGGCACGAAAGCGUGGGGGAGCAAACAGG
rnacentral:rRNA from 1 species